rnacentral:precursor_RNA from 8 species
CUGGAUGGAGCUCUGCUGUGGACUGUGGGAUGAGGUAGUAGUUUGUAUAGUUUUAGGAUCACACCAGAUCUGGGAGAUAACUAUACAGUCUACUGUCUUUCCCACGGUUACCGCUUCGACAACUGGAUGAU